UACGUAGGGUCCGAGCGUUGUCCGGAUUUAUUGGGCGUAAAGAGCUCGUAGGCGGCUUGGCAAGUCGGGUGUGAAACCUCCAGGCUCAACCUGGAGACGCCACUCGAUACUGCCAUGGCUAGAGUCCGGUAGGGGACCACGGAAUUCCUGGUGUAGCGGUGAAAUGCGCAGAUAUCAGGAGGAACACCGGUGGCGAAGGCGGUGGUCUGGGCCGGCACUGACGCUGAGGAGCGAAAGCGUGGGUAGCAAACAGG
rnacentral:rRNA from 1 species